UAGGGAAUCUUCCGCAAUGGACGCAAGUCUGACGGAGCAACGCCGCGUGAGUGAAGAAGGAUUUCGGUUUGUAAAACUCUGUUGUUAGAGAAGAACAGCGCAUAGAGUAACUGUUAUGCGUGUGACGGUAUCUAACCAGAAAGCCACGGCUAACUACGUGCCAGCAGCCGCGGUAAUACGUAGGUGGCAAGCGUUGUCCGGAUUUAUUGGGCGUAAAGCGAGCGCAGGCGGUCAAUUAAGUCUGAUGUGAAAGCCCCCGGCUCAACCGGGGAGGGUCAUUGGAAACUGGUUGACUUGAGUGCAGAAGAGGAGAGUGGAAUUCCAUGUGUAGCGGUGAAAUGCGUAGAUAUAUGGAGGAACACCAGUGGCGAAGGCGACUCUCUGGUCUGUAACUGACGCUGAGGUUCGAAAGCGUGGGUAGCAAACAGG
rnacentral:rRNA from 1 species